GCCCCUGUAGCCCAAUUGGCAGAGGCAAUGGAUUCAAAACCCAUUCAGUGUGAGUUCGAGUCUCACCAGGGGCACCA
rnacentral:tRNA from 9 species